CUUCCCAAUCAGGCUGAUCAUUUGCACCCGAGCCCUUUGUCGGUUUGUCUGGUAUCCUGCCACAUCCUAUGCCACCACUUUGUCAGGUGGGUGGUGUAGCCCCAAGCGUUCAAGAACAACACUGAGCACCUGUUGCAGCAGUUGGCUUAAGCAGUCACACAAAAGUGCACCACAAUGGGUCCAGCGUAGGACGGGUUGACAGCCUUGACCUUCUUGAGGAAUUUCAGCAUGCCGAUGGGCGAGAAUGGCACCCCGAAGUCUGGCCAGCUGGUGAAAUGGAGCUGAGUGACCAGACACGGGGCCCGGGGCCCAUCGCUGCCCUGCUGUGAAGCACAGACGGGCCCAGUUCAAGCGCGCAAAUGACUAAUGUUCACUACGUGCACAGUUAGAUGAUUUGGUUUACACAGAAUGAUGGCUUUGCUCACCUGAGACAGUAGAUGAUCAGUAGGACGGCGAAUAUGAGGACAAGGGACAAGAUCAGCGUGGACGGCAGCACAUGAGCACCCUGGUGGGUGGGGUUCCCUGGGCACAGGUGACAACAUGGGGCUAUACCUUUUUGCCCUCACCCAAAUUUUUUCCCCCCACAUAUGGUCACGUUCAUAUUCAGUGCUUACCUGCCGUUUGGUUGUCAUGAGAUGAAAUGUUCACGGCUGCAGAGACCCCUAUCAGAAACAACACCAUCGUCUCUGUAGGAAGAAACAAGCAAUACCGAUCAGGCUUGCAAUUUCAUAGUAAAUCCACUUGAGGGCGUUGAAUCAAUAUGCAAUGGAAGUGAAGCAUGGAGGUUUUGACAGUGAUUGGGAGUCAUUUAGCUAUUCUCAUCCAUUGUGUAGAACACCAGUAGUAGACAUAUAUGUACAUUUUAUUUUAUUAAAAUCCACAAACAUCUAUUUCCUAUCAAUUGUCCAUCCGUCCUUUUUUCUCCUCCGGUUCAUCCUCAUUAAGGUGACAGCUAGGCUGGAGCCAAUCCAGGUGGCUUUGGGUGAGAGUCAGGGUACACCUUGGACUGGUCUCCAGCCAAUCACAGUGCACCCGUUAAUUAUUACAAUUCCCAUUAGAUAUGGUCUAAUUUCCCUCCCUUAGACUCCUAAAUUACUAUGGUCAGAAAAACUGUUCACUUGAACAAAAAGGCAAUGCUGAAUCUAAUGAAAGGGAAUUAAUUAAAAACUGAAGAAAAACACUAGAGCUUUGCAUGUGUAUUGUUGUCCAGUAAGCAUGCAUGCUAUAUUCCUUAUUAAGGAUGGUGAUAUGAGGGCUUUAGGACAGAGGAGGAGUGCUGGUAUCUGGGUUAUAAUCUUGACCAGAUGGUGUUUUCCUCUCAAGGGCUGAGUCCUAUUUAUUCCUGCCUGACACCCUCCUUUUCCUGCUGCUUCCCUGACAUCACUUGUACACAAGAUUCAUUCUCACUUGUCCUUUUUCUACUUUGAUGCCGACAGCUGUUAGUGCUGCUUUAUUUAUUUGGGUCUACCUUAAAAGGGAACGCACACGUUAAGAUCCUUGACAAUGACACGAGAACUGUAUCUGUCCUAACAUUUUUUUCCCCCUUUUGUGUCUUAUU